GUGGGGAAUAUUGCACAAUGGGCGAAAGCCUGAUGCAGCAACGCCGCGUGAAGGAAGAAGGCCCUUGGGUCGUAAACUUCUGUUCUAAGGGAAGAUAAUGACGGUACCUUAGGAGCAAGUCCCGGCUAACUACGUGCCAGCAGCCGCGGUAAUACGUAGGGGGCGAGCGUUAUCCGGAAUUAUUGGGCGUAAAGAGUACGUAGGUGGUUAUCUAAGCGAGGGGUUUAAGGCAAUAGCUCAACUAUUGUUUGCCCCGCGAACUGGGUGACUUGAGUGCUGGAGAGGAAAGCGGAAUUCCUAGUGUAGCGGUGAAAUGCGUAGAUAUUAGGAGGAACAUCAGUGGCGAAGGCGGCUUUCUGGACAGUAACUGACACUGAGGUACGAAAGUGUGGGGAGCAAACAGGAUUAGAUACCCGGGUAGUCC
rnacentral:rRNA from 1 species